AGAGAUCAUGGCUCAGGAUGAACGCUAGCGGCAGGCUUAAUACAUGCAAGUCGUGGGGCAGCAGGACUGUAGCAAUACAGUUGCUGGCGACCGGCAAACGGGUGCGGAACACGUACGCAAUCUACCCAAAACUGGUGAAUAGCCUUCCGAAAGGAAGAUUAAUACACCGUAACCUAAUUGUAGUGGCAUCACUAUAUUAGUAUAGCUCCGGCGGUUUUGGAUGAGCGUGCGGCUGAUUAGAUAGUUGGUGUGGGUAACGGCCCACCAAGUCUGCGAUCAGUAACUGGUGUGAGAGCACGACCAGUCACACGGGCACUGAGACACGGGCCCGACUCCUACGGGAGGCAGCAGUAAGGAAUAUUGGUCAAUGGACGCAAGUCUGAACCAGCCAUGCCGCGUGAAGGAUGAAGGUCCUCUGGAUUGUAAACUUCUUUUAUAGGGGACGAAACCUCUUUUUCUAAAGAGACUGACGGUACCCUAGGAAUAAGCACCGGCUAACUCCGUGCCAGCAGCCGCGGUAAUACGGAGGGUGCAAGCGUUAUCCGGAUUCACUGGGUUUAAAGGGUGCGUAGGAGGGCAGGUAAGUCAGGGGUGAAAUCUCUGGGCUCAACCCGGAAACUGCCGUUGAUACUAUCUGUCUUGAAUACUGUGGAGGUUAUCGGAAUAUGUCAUGUAGCGGUGAAAUGCUUGAGAUAUUACAUAUAACCCCU
rnacentral:rRNA from 1 species